CUGAGAUGAACUAUGGCCACCUGAAUAACCACCCGAGGCGACGGAUCAAGAAACACCGCGGGAAACGUGCUGGGAUUCUCAACAGACUGAGGAAAAGAGCACACAGCCCUCCUUUACCGAGCAUUCUGCUCGCCAAUGUUCAGUCUCUGGAGAAUAAGAUGGACGAUCUUAGAGCCAGGAAGUUUCAAACGGGACAUUAGGGACUGUAACAUCCAGAAUUCCUAAAAGAAUUUGCAGAUUUCCUCUCAGACCUUCUAGUUACAGUUGAUAAGGCGCUAAUCAUGGGAGAUUUUAAUAUUCACGUUGAUAAUACAAAUUAUACAUUAGGACUUGCGUUUACUGACCUAAUAAACUCCUUUGGAGUCAAGCAAAAUGUCACCGGGCCCACUCAUCGUUUUAAUCAUACACUAGAUUUAAUUAUAUCUCAUGGAAUCGAUCUUACUGCUAUAGAUAUUGUAUCUCAGUGAUGAUAUUACAGACCAUUUCCUUGUAUCGUGCAUGCUGCGUAUAACUGAUAUUAACUAUAUGUCUCAGCGAUACCAUCUGAGCAGAACUAUUGUUCCAGCCACCAAAGAAAUAUUCGCAAAUAACCUGCCUGAUCUAUCUCAACUGGUAUUUGUAUCCAAAAAUACACAUGAAUUAGACGAAAUUACUGACAACAUGGGCACUAUUUUCUCUAAUACAUUAGAAGCUGUUGCCCCGAUCAAAUUGAAAAAGGUUAGAGAAAAACGUACUGUACCCUGGUAUAACAGUAAUACUCACUCUCUCAAGAAAGUAACUCGUAGUCUUGAACGCAAAUGGAGAAAAACUAACUUAGAAGUUUUUAGAAUUGCAUGGAAAAACAGUAUGUCCAGCUAUAGACAGGCUCUAAAAACUGCUAGGGCAGAGCAUAUACACAAACUCAUUGAAAAUAACCAAAACAAUCCAAGGUUUUUAUUUAGCACAGUGGCUAAAUUAACAAAUUACCAGACGCCACCUGAUUCAAAUAUUCCACCAACGUUAAAUAGUAAUGACUUUAUGAAUUUCUUCACUGAUAAAAUAGAUAACAUUAGAAAUACAAUAGCGAAUGUAGAUUCUACAGCGUCUAACACUUCAGUUUCAUCCAUCGCACCCAAAGAUAAACUGCAGUGCUUUACAAAUAUAGGACAGGAAGAACUAAAUAAACUUAUCACUGUAUCUAAACCAACAACAUGUUUAUUAGAUCCUGUACCCACUAAAUUACUGAAAGAGCUGUUACCUGUAGCCGAAAAACCGCUUCUCAAUAUCAUUAACUCAUCGUUAUCGUUAGGUCACAUCCCAAAACCAUUCAAGCUGGUGGUUAUCAAGCCUCUUAUUAAGAAACCAAAACUAGAUCCUAGUGUACUGGCAAAUUAUAGGCCUAUUUCAAAUCUUCCAUUUAUGUCUAAAAUUUUAGAAAAAGUUGUGUCUGCUCAAUUGAGCACCUUCCUGCAUAAAAAUGAUAUGUAUGAAGAAUUUCAGUCAGGUUUUAGGCCCCACCAUAGCAUAGAAACUGCAAUUGUUAAAAUUACAAAUGACCUGCUCCUUGCGUCAGAUCAAGGCUGCAUCUCAUUUCUAGUCUUACUUGAUCUUAGUGCUGCGUUCGACACCAUAGAUCAUG
ensembl:lncRNA